rnacentral:rRNA from 1 species
CCUACGGGUGGCAGCAGUGAGGAAUAUUGGUCAAUGGGCGAGAGCCUGAACCAGCCAAGUAGCGUGAAGGAUGACUGCCCUAUGGGUUGUAAACUUCUUUUAUCAAGGAAUAAAACGAGGCACGUGUGCCGUUUUGCAUGUACUUUAUGAAUAAGCAUCGGCUAACUCCGUGCCAGCAGCCGCGGUAAUACGGAGGAUCCGAGCGUUAUCCGGAUUUAUUGGGUUUAAAGGGAGCGUAGAUGGGUUGUUAAGUCAGUUGGGAAAGUUUGCGGCUCAACCGUAGAAGUGCAAUUGAUACUGGCAGUCUUGAGUACAGUUGAGGUAGGCGGAAUUCGUGGUGUAGCGGUGAAAUGCUUAGAUAUCACGCAGAACCCCGAUUGCGAAGGCAGCUUACUAAACUGUGACUGACAUUGAUGCUCGAAAGUGUGGGUAUCAAACAGGAUUAGAUACCCUAGUAGUC